CCAGACUCCUACGGGAGGCAGCAGUGGGGAAUAUUGGGCAAUGGACGCAAGUCUGACCCAGCAACGCCGCGUGAAGGAAGAAGGCUUUCGGGUUGUAAACUUCUUUUAAGGGGGAAGAGUAGAAGACGGUACCCCUUGAAUAAGCCGCGGCUAACUACGUGCCAGCAGCCGCGGUAAUACGUAGGGGGCAAGCGUUGUUCGGAAUGACUGGGCGUAAAGGGUGCGUAGGCGGUGUAGCAAGUUAGAAGUGAAAUACCUAGAGCUUAACUCAGGUGCUGCUUCUAAAACUGCUAUACUUGAGUGCAGUAGAGGAAAGUGGAAUUCCUAGUGUAGCGGUGGAAUGCGUAGAUAUUAGGAGGAACAUCAGUGGCGAAGGCGACUUUCUGGACUGUAACUGACGCUGAGGCACGAAAGUGUGGGGAGCAAACAGGAUUAGAUACCCCUGUAGG
rnacentral:rRNA from 1 species